CUGUACAGAGCGUCUAAUGGGAAUUUCUGCCUGAAUGGGAGCCCAGGGCAGAGGGCAGCAGAACGGUCAGCCUCGCCAUGGAAAGAGCAGCCUGGGAGUACAGGCAGCAGCUCCAUCUGCAGGGAGCUGCAGAGCCUGUGAAAUAAGAAAAGCAGAAGGGAAGGGUGGGGAUUGGUAAUGCUAGCAGGCCCUGGUUGAGUUGUGUGGAUUUUUUUCUUCUUCUUCAAGAAUGAAUUGCAUCCUUUGUGUCCGUCUUCAAGGUGUCCUUAGGAGGCUGGUGCUGAUGUCUGCAGCUCCAUUGUAAAAUACCCGCCAAUACUACUAUCCUGAAUGGCCCUUUUCCUAGACCUCAGCUACAUUUGGAAUUGUCAAACCAUUGCUAUGGGUGUUUGGGUCUAAACCACACGUG
rnacentral:lncRNA from 1 species